GCGGAUAUGGCGGAAUUGGCAGACGCGCACGGUUCAGGUCCGUGUGGGGCAACCUGUGCAGGUUCAAAUCCUGUUAUCCGCA
rnacentral:tRNA from 2 species